rnacentral:rRNA from 1 species
UGCGGGCAGGCCAGCAUCAGUUUGGGCGGUUGGAUAAAGGUCUCUGUCAUGUACCUCCUUUCGGGGAGGCCUUAUAGGGGAGACGACAUGCAACCAGCCUGGACUGAGGUCCGCGCAUCUGCUAGGAUGCUGGCGUAAUGGCUGUAAGCGGCCCGUCUUGAAACACGGACCAAGGAGUCUAACAUCUAUGCGAGUGUUUGGGUGUCAAGCCCAGACGCGUAAUGAAAGUGAACGGAGGUGGGAACCUUUUAGGUGCACCAUCGACCGAUCCUGAUGUCUUCGGAAGGAUUUGAGUAAGAGCAUAGCUGUUGGGACCCGAAAGAGCCCUAGUAACGGCGAGUGAAGCGGCAACAGCUCAAAUUUGAAAUCUGGCUCUUUCAGGGUCCGAGUUGUAAUUUGCAGAGGGCGCUUUGGCGUUGGCAGCGGUCCAAGUUCUUUGGAACAGGACGUCACAGAGGGUGAGAAUCCCGUACGUGGUCGCUAGCC